ACACAGUCGAGGAGUGAGAUCUGGCUUUGAAUCCUGACUUUUCCCCUUGACAGCUCUGUGACCUUGGCCAUGUCACUUAACUUCCCUCCGCUUCAAUGUCUUCAUCUACAAACCAGGAAUAAUAGUAUAUAUCACAAAAUGUAUCUAAGAUACAAAUGAGACACUGUGAAGUCCUUGGCACAGACUUAUAAAAGAAGUAGAACACACAUGCUUCCCAUUAGGUGAGAAAGAAACAUGCCUGAGAGUCUAAUGGAUUACUCAAGUCUGUGCUGCCAAGGAAGAACAGAAUCUUUAGGUCUUCUGUGCAAAGUUGUG
rnacentral:lncRNA from 10 species